UUAAAAACUUCUUUUAAUCUUUAAAAACACUUUCAUGCAGAGCCUCUGUUAGGACCUCAUUGCGAUACAGAGUUAUGACCUUGUCACCAAAAUGUCAAUGACCAUAUUUUAACCUGCUAUUUAAGGCUGUCAUAGCCAUAUUCUUAUAACAAUGCCGUUAAGUUCAAGAGAACUAUAGUUUGGUGAUAUGGAUCCCAAACGGAAGGGAACAGCAGCGGUUUGUAGUUGUAGAGAACUAAUUAGCGCCAAGUGUUGUUAACCUGUUGUUUCUUGUUUACCUGUCACAGUAGCCCAUAGCACUUUUGUCAUAGAGAGCAACUUGGUCAGUAAAUAUGUGCCUGCUGUAUAAAGUAGCAGUAUUUGGAUGAGUUACAGCUAACACGGACGGCAAACUUGAGACUGUAUAUUGUGUGUUUGACAGAUUUCUGACAGCGACAGCGAUGGUGAGGGAAGCAGUGUACCGAACUCUCAGAUGACUCGGACCAGGUGACCAAACCCAUGCAAAGCACAAUGACUGUGCUGAGGCGUUCCGCCCCCCUCCCCCUCCACACCACUCAAGGCACGGCGGCGGCCCAACCGCAAACUAACGGAGAUUAACAUGAGGCUGGAUGCGCUUGGCUCCCUGCUGCGUCCAUCACCAGAGGGGCCGGGAUUGCUGCGGCAGCUAGCCAAUUAAAGGAGGAGGAUGAAGGAGAGGAGUCUGACGAUGCCGACAUCGCCAUCGUAUGCAGUCCACGCCCUCGCAGGAAAACCAGCCAAUGAAAACGCUUGCAGCAGCAUCAGCAGAACACACCGGCACGACUGACAGAGCUUCUGAAGCAUGCAGUGGAAGACCUGUCAGUCAAGCUAAAGGUCCCGCCCUCCAACCUGCUGCUGCUGCACGGAGAGGCGGAACUUAACACCUCACACACUAUUGGCCAGCUAGGACUCUGCAUCGCUGACAUCUUUGGUAGGAAUGUGUGUGUGUGUGUGUGUGUGUGUUUGCGUUUGGGUGUGUUUGCGUGUGGGUCUGUGUUGGUGCAAGUCAGUCUUGGCUCCUUCCUGAUAUUAUACUGUAUAAGUUCAUACGUAUACCGCAUUGCAAAAUGAAUUUCAUAUACAGUAUAUCACGAAAGUGAAUACACCCCUCCAGGGCUCUAAAUUAACUUUUUCCACCACC